CAGGCUGGCAGGGAGACCUCAUCACGGCUCACUCCUCAGUUCAUACUUGACCACCGCGGUGGACUGUGAGUGUAAAUACUAUAGCUGGGUUUAUUUUACUUCAGUUUUACGUGUACAGGACAAUACAGCGGCGCAGAUUGUGUUCCUAUGGAUUUUUUUUAUUACUGUAGUGUUGGCAGCGUGUGGAGUGUGGCAGAACGGCAGAGGUCACACAGCAGCUCAUCCCACAGCAGGCUGCCCUCCCCUGUGCCGCCACCACCACCACCACUACCAGUGAGGGAGGAGGCAGAGGUACAGCUCACCAAAUUGUCAGAUGAUGGAGAGAAGAAUUUUCUCACCUUGAAGAUAGAGGAGAAGAGCAAACUGGAGGAAACCAACUGGGAGGAGGAGGAAAAACUUUGCUCCAGUCUAAUGGAGAGAGAGAGAGAGAGAGAGAGAGAGAGAGAGAGAGAGAGAGAGAGAGAGAGAGAG